CUGCAGCUAUAGGCAAAGCAUCUCGAUCGAAAUGAAUGUGCUUGCACCGAGCAGGUAGUAACGAGUUGAAGUGAAUUUUAUCGCAGAAACACACACAAUCAACUCAUCGUUUUGCACGUUGGCUCACAACCACACCCGAUGAAUAUGUCUACUUUUUGAGAGAGAGCAUGAUCAUAUACUUUUGCAAUCAUAUAUACCGGCCUAUGUAAAGCAGCCUGGGAAUAUUAAAGCAUGAGUUAGGAAACCUGCUGCACGAAUUCCUAUUCGUUAUAUCAGCUACUGCACAAGCACAGACAAAAAGUUUGCUACAUCAGUCAAUCUAGAUACUUUAUUCAAGCCCCAUUAAAUGAAAUACUGCCAAAAAUUACCACCAAGCUAAAGUUUUGACACAUUCAGUGAAAUCCAAACCGAAACCAAACGUGGAAUGUCCAAUGCAAUGUAUCGCUUGGCAACACUGGUAAGCUUGCUGCGCCGGCAGCACAUGGACGGCAGCUGUCAGAUACCGAGGCCUGUUUUCGUGUGUAAUUUUCGUUCGUGCAUCCGUGUUAACGCAAUGUUCUCCGCGGUUUGUGUGUUAUUCGUGAACGCAAUCGGAACGAGUCCUCAUCAACGCAGUUUAACGCGACUGUAAGUAAAGGGAAGCAGCGGGCGCCUUCACCGGCGCGGCCCUCGGCGAUCGCUUUGUUUGUAUGUGUCGCGCGCACGGUUCAACUUUUGAAUACCGUGGCUGCGCGUUGUCGCAGUGCAGUGAUGAUUAUAUGCCAGUGCUCAUCGUGAAACUGCACAAACCGCGUCACUGCUGAUGGAGCUGCCACGUACGUAGACGGCGGCGCCCGAGAAGACCUUUUCUGAAGAGAAUGCGUGCCUGGCGAUUGCCACUUCCAGUCGCAACUUUUACAAAGUGGCAGCUGGCCUCCAUGGGGCGGUGCAGACAGGGGACUGUCAUUGCUGGAGCACCUCCUGGCUAUCCACAGGAAAUGGAAAAAACAUGCUGUUUUCACAACGUGGACGACACCGUGUCAAAGGAAGUUAUGGAAAAGAGACUGAAAUCAGUGCACUGGUACCCCUUGCAGCAAUUGGGUAAUGUGCUGUAGUAGUGAACUUUGCAAUAAAGUUUUAUCUCUGUUCAUAUUGCUUUCAGAUGUUAUAAAUGUGAUUUCCACAUCACACACAUACCAUGACCUGAAGUUUUGGAUGGAAUGGUGAGCAUAUUUAUGCAGUGAGCCAUCUUAAGUGCCGACUGGCAUACUCUAGUGUUCAAAGGCACUGAAUAUAUUCUAAUUAAGACUGCAAGACUGUAAUGCAAUCACAGUCAGAAUUCAUCAAUUCAAUAAACAAUACACAUUUGAACAGUGGUCUCCGGUACAAUGGCAUACCGACAAACAGUAGAAUAGGUAGUAGACAGGUAGUAGACUUGUAGGCUUGUAGACCUGUAAACUUGUAUGCCGAUUGGCUAGUAGACCAUCAAGGUCUGAAAUUAGGGUUAGCCAACAGACAUGUAAGCUGAUAGCUGGUUGGAAUUUUUUACUGGAGAUAUUCAUAUAAAAUUCCAGACCCGCCGUAGUGGCUAAGGCGUACGUACGUUGCUCUACUGAACUGAAAGCUCAGGAUUGAAUCCCGGGCGCGGUGGCAUUUCGAUGGAAGUGAAAUGCACUAGAUGCCUGUGUGCCAUAUGCAUUGGGUGCACAUUUUUUUAAAAACCACAGGGAGUUAAAAUAAUUCGGAAUGCCUCGAUCACCAGCGUGUGCCUCAUCAUAAAAUUGUGGUUUUGGCAUGUAAAAACCCAGAUUUUAAUUUACUGAAUUUCCAAAUAUGACCAUAUACAGGAUGUUUCAGCGAACUCUUUCAAAAAUUCUUAAAGGUUGCUUGUGGCAGGUAUCACAAUUCUAGUUCAUGAGCUGGUCUACUCGAAGAGGCGGACGUUACUUCCACAAGAAAUUGAAAUGCAUAAUCGAAUAUUUAACAGAAAUUUACUAAUUAAGUUUUUAACUAAUUACCUGAUGGCUCAUAUUGCAAUUUACAAAUUGUAGCCUUGGAGUUCGCCAGGCGGAUCCACUUGGAACAAAUUCUUGGGAUGACACCAGUUUCGAGAUAUAAAUUGCCGAACUUUGCGGAGAAACGCAUUGGCGUUCCAAUUAGUUUCUUAACAAAUCGUUGCUUUAUGCAUUGAAGCACCAAAUUAACUGGAACGCCAAUGCAUUUCUCCGCAAAGUUCGCGAAUUAAUAUCCCGAAACUGGUGUCAUCCCGAGAAUUCGUUCCGAGUGAAUCGCCUUGCGAACUCCCCGGCUUCAAUUUGUAAAUUGCAAUAUGGGCCAUCAGGUAAUUAGUUAAAAACUGAAUUAGUGAACUUUUGUUGAUUAUAGUCGAUUAUGCAUUUCAAUUUUUUGUGCAAGUAAUGUCCGCCUCUUCGAGUCGGCCAGCUCAUUAACUAGAAUUGGGUUAUCUGCCACAGGCCACCUUAAAUAAAUUUUGAAAGUGUUCGCUGAAACACCCUGUAUAUAAGAGCGCCAUAUAUGGACAUACUAAAACUUUAGAAGUGGCCUUAUAUAGAAAUGUCCCAUAUAUGGGCAUAUUGAAGAUUUGGCAGAUAUGGCCAUAUAUAGCAUAUAAGGGUCCCAUAUAUGGACAUAUUAAGAAUUGGGCAGAUAUGGCCAUAUAUAGCAUAUAAGGGGGCCAUAUAUGGGGAUAUUCAAAAUUGGGCAGAUAUGGCCAUAUAUGGCCCUUAUAUGCCAUAUAUGGCCAUAUCUGCCCAAUUUUUAAU